rnacentral:rRNA from 1 species
GACGAACGCUGGCGGCGUGCUUAACACAUGCAAGUCGAACGGAAAGGCCCCUUUGGGGGUACUCGAGUGGCGAACGGGUGAGUAACACGUGAGUAACCUGCCCUUGACUUCGGGAUAACUUCAGGAAACUGGGGCUAAUACCGGAUAGGAAUCCUUGCUGCAUGGUGGGGGUUGGAAAGCUUCGGCGGUUUUGGAUGGACUCGCGGCUUAUCAGCUUGUUGGUGGGGUAGUGGCUUACCAAGGCUUUGACGGGUAGCCGGCCUGAGAGGGCGACCGGCCACAUUGGGACUGAGAUACGGCCCAGACUCCUACGGGAGGCAGCGGUGGGGAAUAUUGCACAAUGGGCGGAAGCCUGAUGCAGCAACGCCGCGUGCGGGAUGACGGCCUUCGGGCUGUAAACCGCUUUCAGCAGGGGCGAAGCUUGUGGUGACGGUACCUGCAGAAGAAGCACCGGCUAACUACGUG